rnacentral:rRNA from 1 species
CAGNCCUAACACAUGCAAGUNGANCGAGAAAGUNGNAGCAAUCCCAUGAGUACAGUNGCGUACGGGUGAGUANCACGUGACUAACCUACCCUCNAGUGGGGAAUAACCUCGGGAAACCGGGGCUAACACCGCAUAACAUCUNCGGAUCAAAUGCGCAAGCAGCUUNAGNAGGGGGUCGCGGCUGAUUAGCUAGUUGNCGGGGUAAUGNCCCACCAAGGCAAUGAUCAGUANCCGGCCUGAGAGGGCGCANGGCCACNCUGGAACUGAAACACGGUCCAGACUCNUACGGGAGGCAGCAGUGGGGAAUUUUGCGCAAUGGGGGAAACCCUGACGCAGCAACGCCGCGUGGAGGAUGAAGUCCCUUGGGACGUAAACUCCUUUCGAUCCAAGACGAUAAUGACGGUACCUGGUGGAAGAAGCACCGGCUAACUCUGUGCCAGCAGCCGCGGUAAUAC